CUUUCUUUUUCUGCCCUCGGCCUCGCUCUUGUGCACUGGACCACAAUGCUCCGCGCCGCUUGUCAUUGGGAGGCGCCGAAGGUGGGGGUCGGCUCGGAAGGAAAAGCAAUCACAGGAAUAUAUAAAACAUCAGCAGAAAGAGGCCUUUGGAGGAAUCCAGACCAGCAUUCUCAUUUUACGGAUGAGGGACUGCGGCCCAUGGAGGUUUCCAUAGAUGAUUGGAAAAACCCAAGAGUUGGUCCUCUGUUCCAGACCCCACACAGACACAAACCUACGAGCCAAGGGAGCCAGUAUUUGGCCAUUCGUCCAUCCAUCUGCAUGUCCCAGGGAUGCACGAACAGGGAACACUUCAGCCUUUCGGCUGCCUUCAAAGAAGCAAUGAGAGAGAGAGAGAGGGUUACUUUGAUGAAUGAGCAGAUACCAGAAAUGCCAAGGAAGGCUCUGGUCUAAACCUUGCCCUCACUCCUGUCUUCUGGCUCCUGACCACCCUGGUGUCUUCCCCUGAGGCCCUGCAAGGCAUAUCAUGCUUCCUGUCCCUAGGA
rnacentral:antisense_RNA from 1 species